AUAAUUAAGAUUUAUAGUAUUAAAUAUAAAGUUAUGUGGGCUUAGAAUUAGCCAUUAUUAAAGUUUGUUAUAAGAUAUCUUCUUAAAUAAUCAUAAAAUUUUUGUAUUUUUAUUCUAAUAAUCUAAUGAAGAUAACAAUUUCAAUUAAAGUAAAUUUUUUGCCUAUGCUAAAAUGAGUAUUAUAUUAACUUUUAAAUAAUUUAUAUAAUUAUCUUUAUUAAUGUUAAAAGCACCAAUUAGGAAAAAGGAACUCGGCAAAAUUUGUUUCGCCUGUUUAUCAAAAACAUGGCUCUUUGUAUGGUAUAAAUAAAGAGUCUAACCUGCCCAGUGAAAUUUUUAACGGCCGCGGUACUCUGACCGUGCAAAGGUAGCAUAAUCAUUUGCCUUAUAAUUAAAGGCUAGUAUGAAUGGUUUAACGAAAACAAAACUGUCUCCUUCCUAAUAUCUAAAAAUUAACCUAUAGGUGAAGAGGCCUAUAUAGAAUUAAAG
rnacentral:rRNA from 1 species